GACGAACGCUGGCGGCGUGCUUAACACAUGCAAGUCGAACGGAAAGGCCCUGCUUUUGUGGGGUGCUCGAGUGGCGAACGGGUGAGUAACACGUGAGUAACCUGCCCUUGACUUUGGGAUAACUUCAGGAAACUGGGGCUAAUACCGGAUAGGAGCUCCUGCUGCAUGGUGGGGGUUGGAAAGUUUCGGCGGUUGGGGAUGGACUCGCGGCUUAUCAGCUUGUUGGUGGGGUAGUGGCUUACCAAGGUUUGACGGGUAGCCGGCCUGAGAGGGUGACCGGCCACAUUGGGACUGAGAUACGGCCCAGACUCCUACGGGAGGCAGCAGUGGGGAAUAUUGCACAAUGGGCGGAAGCCUGAUGCAGCAACGCCGCGUGCGGGAUGACGGCCUUCGGGUUGUAAACCGCUUUCGCCUGUGACGAAGCGUGAGUGACGGUAAUGGGUAAAGAAGCACCGGCUAACUACGUG
rnacentral:rRNA from 1 species